AACUUUGUCAUGAUUGAACUAUAGCUAAAACUAAACCUAGCAUGGUAAUUGAAGUAAACUGUACUUAUUUUAAUUAAAAUAAAGAUUAACCCAGCGGGAAACAUUAAACAAUAUUAGAAAUAAUAAUUUAAUUCAGUUUUUAGGUCCGACAAAUCAGGUGCCAGCAGUCGCGGUCAUACCUGAGGGCCCAGCUAUAAUUUUUAAGCUAGCUUAAAAAUUAUGUUUAGUAAUUAAGUAAAAUUUUUACUACUUUUAAACCAAGAUAGGUUAAAGCUUAAACUCAAAAAAUAAACCAGGAUUAGAUACCCUGUUAUAUAGAGCCAGAAUUCUAAGCUUUAGCAUUAAGACUUUAUAGUUAAAACUAAAAUGACAUGGCGGCAGCUUUAAAAUUCAGGGGAACUUACCAGAUAAAUGAUAACCCACAAAAAACCAUACUUAUACUAAUAGUUUGUAUAUCGUCGUCUUCAGGACCUGUCUAAGAUAGGCCCAAAAUGUUCUCUCAACAAAAAGACAGAUCAAGAUGCAACCCAUGUUUAAGUCUAUGAGGUGAGUUACAAUAAUUAAAAUUUUGGAAUUAGUUUAAAAUCAACUAAGAAAACCGGACUUGAAAGUAAGCUUUAAUAGGAAUAUAAGCUGAAUAAACAAAAAGCUGUGCACAAAUCGCCCGUCACUCUCGUUGAAAAAGGAGAUAAGUCGUAACACAGUAAGUGUACUGGAAAGUGCACUUG
rnacentral:ncRNA from 1 species